AGGAAAAGAAAGAGAAAGAGAAAAGAAAACAGAAAUAAGCUAAAUAUGAGAUUUGAUGCUAAGCAAAUAUAGUUGUGUUGGGAGAAAAGUUCCCCCAACUUGCCUGGUGCAAUGGUAUUACCUCCCUUGUGAAGUUCCUGGCACUAUAGUAGGUACCCAGCCAAAAUAAGACCCCUUCCUGCUUCCACGUCAACCUCAGUAGCCAAGGUUUCGUAACUCCUGCCUUUAAACUGAAGAAACUGUAUCAAUGUCUCGUAAUGUAAUAGUUCCAUAGCUGGCAGUAAAGAAAACCAAACUUAAAGAGCCACUUGAGCAGAGGAGAUAGACCAAAUCUGUUGUAUUGGUUGGCAUUCAGGGAAAACUCAAAGUCAAAAGGCACCAUCUCAAGACCAUCCAGAAAAGCUCGUUGGGCCCUUGAUCCAGAAAGCACCCAGUUGGUCUCCUAGAGAGCACUGUAGGGAUUCUGAAAUCA
rnacentral:lncRNA from 10 species